GAGGAGGAGGCAGCCGACACAGCAGUGCCAGAGUGUUUUGCCAGUUUUGGUCUCACAGGCCACCUGAAUUUCCCAGUGGUCGCUCUUCGUGAACUCCUAGUGAUUUUGUUUUUUGUGCCUCCACAGGACUUCUCCUUGUAGAAGCUGUGAAACCUUUUGUGGAGAUCCAGCGCAGAACCUCUCCUCCUGUAUCCCACCUGGAGAUCAAACCUCCACGCUGGCUGCCCUCCUCUCUCCUGCCUUUAAGAGACCCGAUCAGACCUGAUCCGCCCUCCACUGCUGCCCCGCCGCCUUAAGCUUAGGAGCAACACCCGACCUCAAGUUAUCCUCCAGGAACCAUCAGACUCCCCUCAGUCCAGAUCAUCUCAGCCAAAACUGAUUUUAUCAGACGCUUCCUGGCAGCUGCAUCAGUGACAGAAACUCCAUUGUUUCCAUCUCUGUGCUUUUGAGAAACGGAACCAACCAGGAACCAACAGAACCAACCAGGAACCAACAGAACCA